rnacentral:rRNA from 1 species
CCUACGGGGGGCAGCAGUGAGGAAUAUUGGUCAAUGGGCGUAAGCCUGAACCAGCCAAGUCGCGUGAGGGAUGAAGGUUCUAUGGAUCGUAAACCUCUUUUAUAAGGGAAUAAAGUGUGGGACGUGUCCUAUUUUGUAUGUACCUUAUGAAUAAGGAUCGGCUAACUCCGUUCCAGCAGCCGCGGUAAUACGGAGGAUCCGAGCGUUAUCCGGAUUUAUUGGGGUGAAAGGGUGCGUAGGCGGCCUUUUAAGUCAGCGGUGAAAGUCUGUGGCUCAACCAUAGUAUUGCCGUUGAAACUGGGAGGCUUGAGUAUGUUUGAGGCAGGCGGAAUGCGUGGGGUAGCGGUGAAAUGCUUAGAUAUCACGCAGAACCCCGAUUGCGAAGGCAGCCUGCCAAGCCAUGACUGACGCUGAUGCACGAAAGCGUGGGGAUCAAACAGGAUUAGAUACCCGAGUAGUC